rnacentral:rRNA from 1 species
CCUACGGGAGGCAGCAGUGGGGAAUAUUGCACAAUGGGGGAAACCCUGAUGCAGCGACGCCGCGUGAGUGAAGAAGUAAUUCGUUAUGUAAAGCUCUAUCAGCAGGGAAGAAUAAUGACGGUAGCUAAGGAGCAAGCCACGGCUAACUACGUGCCAGCAGCCGCGGUAAUACGUAGGUGGCAAGCGUUGUCCGGAAUUACUGGGUGUAAAGGGAGCGCAGGCGGGAAGCCAAGUCAGCUGUGAAAACUACGGGCUUAACUUGUUGACUGCAGUUGAAACUGGUUUUCUUUAGUGAAGUAGGGGGUGGGCGAAUUGCGGGGGUAGGCGGGAAAUGCGU